UACGUAGGAGGCAAGCGUUGUCCGGAAUUACUGGGCGUAAAGCGCACGUAGGCGGCUUUGCAAGUCAGAGGUGAAAGCCCGGGGCUCAACCCCGGAAUAGCCUUUGAGACUGCAUCGCUAGAAUUGUGGAGAGGUAAGUGGAAUUCCGAGUGUAGAGGUGAAAUUCGUAGAUAUUCGGAAGAACACCAGUGGCGAAGGCGACUUACUGGACACAUAUUGACGCUGAGGUGCGAAAGCGUGGGGAGCAAACAGG
rnacentral:rRNA from 1 species